rnacentral:rRNA from 1 species
AGUGAACGCUGGCGGUAGGCCUAACACAUGCCAGUCGAACGGCAGCACAGUAAGAGCUUGCUCUUACGGGUGGCGAGUGGCGGACGGGUGAGGAAUACAUCGGAAUCUACUUUUUCGUGGGGGAUAACGUAGGGAAACUUACGCUAAUACCGCAUACGACCUACGGGUGAAAGCAGGGGAUCUUCGGACCUUGCGCGAUUGAAUGAGCCGAUGUCGGAUUAGCUAGUUGGCGGGGUAAAGGCCCACCAAGGCGACGAUCCGUAGCUGGUCUGAGAGGAUGAUCAGCCACACUGGAACCGAGACACGGUCCAGACUCCUACGGGAGGCAGCAGUGGGGAAUAUUGGACAAUGGGCGCAAGCCUGAUCCAGCCAUACCGCGUGGGUGAAGAGGGCCUUCGGGUUGUAAAGCCCUUUUGUUGGGAAAGAAAAGCAGCAGGUUAAUACCCCGCUGUUCUGACGGUACCCAAAGAAUAAGCACCGGCUAACUUCGUG